GGAGGAGUUAUAGAGAGAGGUUAUAUAGGAGUAAUAGGAGGAGUUAUAGUGAGAGUUUAUAUGAAGUAAUAGGUGGAGAUAUAGAGAGAGGUUAUAUGGAGUAAUAGGAGGAGUUAUAGGGAGAGGUUAUAUGGAGUAAUAGGAGAAGUUAUAGAGAGAGGUUAUAUGGGGUAAUAGGAGGAGAUAUAGAGCGAGGUUAUAUGGAGUAAUAGGAGGAGAUAUAGGGAGAGGUUAUAUGGAGUAAUAGGAGAAGUUAUAGGGAGAGGUUAUAUGGAGUAAUAGGAGGAGAUAUAGGGAGAGGUUAUAUGGAGUAAUAGGAGGAGAUAUAGGGAGAGGUUAUAUGGAGUUACAGGAGGAGUUAUAGAGAGAGGUUUUAUGAAGUAAUAGGAACUGGUAUGGAGCGAGGGUUUAU